UGGCUCGGGUCUGGGCAGACCCGGCUGGCUGCAGCCUCUUUCGGCGGCUCCGGGGCUGCUCGGCGGCGGCCGGAACGCGAGCACGGGUAGGGCAGGGAGGUGCUGGGAUGGCAGGGGCGGCUGGGGUUAGCUGGGGGGUUCUAGGGUUAGGGUUAGCUCAAGAAACCCUAGGACAACCUAUAUAUAAGUGCGAAAAACUCGCGGAAAACCCCCUCGAAAGGAAUCUAAUUAAUCCCAGCUCUCAACCAGCAGUCGCAUAACGCACGAUAGUCCCUCUAAGUUCGAAAACUCGCAAUUCGACGCAUAAAAUAUAGGGCCUUUUCGCGAAUAAUCCGAUUACUCAAAUCAGCCCCUUCGCGGACUUUUCGCGAUUCCCGAAGAUCCGUCCGUCGGAUUUCCGAUCGGAUCGCACCAGCGCGAUCAGCACGACAGAGGCAUCGAAUCUAGCAUCUCGUUUCGCCCGAAAAGAUUCCCGAUUUGCGACAAAACCAUCCCUCCUAGGUUCCACCAAAAGCCACAUAUAGACAACUAUAUGCAAAAACCAUUAAACCCCUUUUUCUCGAAAUCCGUGCAUCCAAAUCUAAUU
rnacentral:lncRNA from 1 species